rnacentral:ncRNA from 1 species
UAUUGUGCGAUGAAUAGGAGUAUUAGUAAUAAUUAUAUCUUAAAGAGAGCUGUUGUUUGGUGUAAAAUAGUGUUAUAUUAUUAUGAACUUGCCUAGGAGCUUACUUGUUAAAAGCAAGUACGGUAGACCCGUUAAAAUAAUAAGUGAGAAGGAUAAAUUUGUUUUUUUAUCUCUUCUAAUUAAGAGUGGUACCACGGAAAUUAUGCUUUCGUCUCUUUG